rnacentral:rRNA from 1 species
UGGGGAAUAUUGUACAAUGGGCGCAAGCCUGAUGCAGCCAUGCCGCGUGUAUGAAGAAGGCCUUCGGGUUGUAAAGUACUUUCAGUCGGGAGGAAGGUGUCAAGGUUAAUAACCUUGGCAAUUGACGUUACCGACAGAAGAAGCACCGGCUAACUCCGUGCCAGCAGCCGCGGUAAUACGGAGGGUGCAAGCGUUAAUCGGAAUUACUGGGCGUAAAGCGCACGCAGGCGGUUGAUUGAGUCAGAUGUGAAAUCCCCGGGCUUAACCCGGGAAUUGCAUCUGAUACUGGUCAGCUAGAGUCUUGUAGAGGGGGGUAGAAUUCCAUGUGUAGCGGUGAAAUGCGUAGAGAUGUGGAGGAAUACCGGUGGCGAAGGCGGCCCCCUGGACAAAGACUGACGCUCAGGUGCGAAAGCGUGGGGAGCAAACAGG